rnacentral:rRNA from 1 species
AACGCGAAGAACCUUACCCGGGUUUGAACGCAUUUCGACAGCUCUGGAAACAGAGCCUCUAGCGAUAACGAUUUGCGAGGUGCUGCAUGGUUGUCGUCAGCUCGUGCCGUGAGGUGUCGGCUUAAGUGCCAUAACGAGCGCAACCCUUGCCACUAGUUACUAACAGGUGAUGCUGAGGACUCUGGUGGGACUGCCAGCGUAAGCUGCGAGGAAGGCGGGGAUGACGUCAAAUCAGCACGGCCCUUACAUCCGGGGCGACACACGUGUUACAAUGGCGUGGACAAAGGGAGGCCACCUGGCGACAGGGAGCGAAUCCCCAAACCACGUCUCAGUUCGGAUCGGAGUCUGCAACCCGACUCCGUGAAGCUGGAUUCGCUAGUAAUCGCGCAUCAGCCAUGGCGCGGUGAAUACGUUCCCGGGUCUUGUACACACGC